GGGUUGUGAGGUUAAGCGACCAAGCGUACACGGUGGAUGCCCUGGCAGUCAGAGGCGAUGAAGGACGUGCUAAUCUGCGAAAAGCGCCGGUAAGGUGAUAUGAACCGUUAUAACCGGCGAUGUCCGAAUGGGGAAACCCAGUGUGACUCGUCACACUAUCAUUAACUGAAUCCAUAGGUUAAUGAGGCGAACCGGGGGAACUGAAACAUCUAAGUACCCCGAGGAAAAGAAAUCAACCGAGAUUCCCCCAGUAGCGGCGAGCGAACGGGGAGGAGCCCAGAGCCUGAAUCAGCAUGUGUGUUAGUGGAAGCGUCUGGAAAGGCGCGCGAUACAGGGUGACAGCCCCGUACACAAAAGCGCAUGUGCUGUGAGCUCGAUGAGUAGGGCGGGACACGUGGUAUCCUGUCUGAAUAUGGGGGGACCAUCCUCCAAGGCUAAAUACUCCUGACUGACCGAUAGUGAACCAGUACCGUGAGGGAAAGGCGAAAAGAACCCCGGCGAGGGGAGUGAAACAGAACCUGAAACCGUGUACGUACAAGCAGUGGGAGCCCCACCACUAAGCCAGUGGUGAACUCCACAUACGCAUCCUUUGCUGAGGAUACGGUUAACGGAGCGCAAGCGACGUUCAACCGCAAAAGAAGCAGAGGGGGCUUAGUGGUGGGGUGACUGCGUACCUUUUGUAUAAUGGGUCAGCGACUUAUAUUCUGUAGCAAGGUUAACCGAAUAGGGGAGCCGGAGGGAAACCGAGUCUUAAUUGGGCGUUAAGUUGCAGGGUAUAGACCCGAAACCCGGUGAUCUAGCCAUGGGCAGGUUGAAGGUUGGGUAACACUAACUGGAGGACCGAACCGACUAAUGUUGAAAAAUUAGCGGAUGACCUGUGGCUGGGGGUGAAAGGCCAAUCAAACCGGGAGAUAGCUGGUUCUCCCCGAAAGCUAUUUAGGUAGCGCCUCGUGAAUUCAUCUCCGGGGGUAGAGCACUGUUUCGGCCAGGGGGCCAUCCCGGCUUACCAACCCGAUGCAAACUGCGAAUACCGGAGAAUGUUAUCACGGGAGACACACGGCGGGUGCUAACGUCCGUCGUGAAGAGGGAAACAACCCAGACCGCCAGCUAAGGUCCCAAAGUCAUGGUUAAGUGGGAAACGAUGUGGGAAGGCCCAGACAGCCAGGAUGUUGGCUUAGAAGCAGCCAUCAUUUAAAGAAAGCGUAAUAGCUCACUGGUCGAGUCGGCCUGCGCGGAAGAUGUAACGGGGCUAAACCAU
rnacentral:rRNA from 1 species